CCUGAAUGAAAGUCUUAGUAGAGAUAGGAAGAAACAGAGACAGCUAGAGAAGGAGAUGAGAGGAAGUAAAGGAGGGGCUAUCAUUAUUUACAUAAGAUAUACAAAGUGUUCUGACAGUUCUGAACAUCUUCCAGGAAAAGGGCACUAAGUCUGAGACCUGACAAAAUGAUCCUUUACGGUGUGUGGACAAAAAAUAGAAAAACAAUCUGAGCUUGAGCCCUGGCUGCCAGAAAAGGAGAGGUGCAUACAAAGCAUGGAGAGAAAAGGGACAGGACAUCAUAUGGAAGAUGCCACUGCAUAGGGGAAC